CGGCGGGGACCAGGGCAAUAUGGUGUAACACAAAUCCAAUUGCACAAGUCCCGGCCUGC
rnacentral:pre_miRNA from 1 species